rnacentral:rRNA from 1 species
AGAGUUUGAUCCUGGCUCAGGAUGAACGUUGGCGGCGUGCCUAAUACAUGCAAGUCGAACGGUAGUUAAGCAUACGUGCUUAAUGAGAGUGGCGAACGGGUGAGUAACACGUAACUGAUCUGCCCUUUAGACUGGGAUAACCUUUGGAAACAGAGGCUAAUACCGGAUGAGCUCGCGGUAGUUAGAGAGCCGUGAGGAAAGGCUUAUGCGCUAAGGGAUGAGGUUGCGGGCCAUCAGCUGGUUGGUGAGGUAAAGGCUUACCAAGGCGAUGACGGUUAGGGGACCUGAGAGGGUGGCCCCCCACACUGGGACUGAGACACGGCCCAGACUCCUACGGGAGGCAGCAGUAAGGGAUAUUGCACAAUGGACGGAAGUCUGAUGCAGCGACGCCGCGUGGGUGAAGAAGGUUUUCGGAUCGUAAAGCCCUUUUCUAUGUGACGAGAGAGGACGGUAGCAUAGGAAUAAGUGUCGGCUAACUACGUGCCAGCAGCCGCGGUAAAACGUAGGACGCGAACGUUAUCCGGAGUUACUGGGCGUAAAGCGCGCGUAGGCGGUUGGUUAAAUUACCUAUGAAANAUACAGGCUAAACUUGUAUUGGUUAGGUGAAACUGGUC